GUGUGAUGCUUUCGAGACAUGUCCUAAAAGGCAAAAGCAAAGCCAUGACUUCAGUGUCUGGGAAGACACUUCUUGAUGCAGUCAGUGGACAUCAGCAGUCCUGAUGCGGGCCAGAAUGAACAGGACAGCUGCUCCCAGGCACAUGGGGAGAGAGGAGAUGGACCCCUGGGAGAGCCCUCACUGUGGAACUGGGAGCACUGGGAAACCCUCAGGAGUUGCCCAGGAGAUGGCCUCAUGAACUGAUGUUUCCAGCAUCACUGCUCAGUGAUGGGGACAAAUGGGGACACAUCCCCACCAGGCAAGUCUCUGUUCUCACCCUCUUGCUUUUGGGAUUCCCCUUUUCUUUGGCCCUGGCACUUUGUUUUUCUCCUGGGCAGCCAAAGUGGGCGUUUGUACAGGUGGUGGUAGCUGCAGACAAGGCUGGGGGUCAUGUGCAGUGAACUGCCCUCAUAAACACCACUGAUCAGGAGUAUUUCCUGAAUUACCUGGUUCUUCUGCUCUGCUGGCACCCCAAAGCACGGGCAUGGGCGGAGGGCAAGAAGAGGAUGUGGAGUGACAGGAAACGUGGCCUUUGAGCCUGGACUCACAAGU